AGCAGGAAGGGGUGCCAGAGUGGGCGAGCGAAGGCGGGGGAGGGGCCCGGGUGGCUGCCAGGGACUGAGGGGAAGGGCUGGAAAGUGGGGCCUGACUCGAGAACCGGGCGGGGGUGCCUGGGGUGGCAGGACCGAGUUCGGCAUAGGGAUGGGAAGGGAACGCAGUGCUCUUUCCAGUCCAGUGUGAGUUCCCCCUUCGGGUCCCAAUUCCAAGUACCCCAUUUCUGAAUCCAGCUACCCAGCAAAGAAAAGGCAAAAAAGAGGGGGGGGGAAUAGGUUUCUGAAAGGAAAUCUGACAAGGAGCAAAAAUGAAAUUAAUUAAGUGCAACAUGCGACUGGCUUUCUCUGUGUCUGCACCGGCCGGCCUGACGUAGCCGUCCCUCAUCUUAUGUAGGCCCCCAGAGAGCCCCAAAAGCUGGAGCCAGACUUCCCUUCUCAACGAAGAUGUCCCCAAAGUGCCAGGGACCCAACAGUAAGAUCUAAGAGCCAGCCCCAGGGAAGAGUUCCAGACCCUUGCACUCUUGGGGAGAAGAUGGUCCCAGCGGAAAAGGGACAACGGGUCAGAGAAACAAGAGUUUCCCUCCAGCUACUCUUCUGCUCAGGGAGGUUUCCCAGACACCAGGAUCUCAGGAUCUCCUCCUCUCCCCUUGGCCUCCCUCUCAACCACCACUAGAGCGUCUCUUCACCAGUUUAUUUACUGACUCUUUACCCCAAAGAGCCCAGCGCCCCAGCCCUCCAGUUCAUGGCACCUCCACCUGCAAUGGCCUAACCAGGAAGAACAACUACCACAUGAAAGGAGAGGGGUCCCAGAAGGAGGAGAAGAAGGAGGACAGCCUAACUUGCUGUCAGCGCUCAAAGACUUAAACCAAAGAGGGCAGACUUGGGGGACAAGUAGGGAUCUGCACAGUACGUGGGCGCUAUGCCAGACCUGGAGGCAGGGGAGGAGUUCAGAACUCAUGUGGCUGGAGAAGAAGAUGUUUCUGGAACACCCCCUCCACCUCUCUGGAUUACAUAUGGUACAAGCCCCACUUUUUUUGCUGCUCCAUCCUCCCCAGAACAAUGCCCUGGCCCCACCA